AUACGUAGGUGACAAGCGUUAUCCGGAUUUACUGGGCGUAAAGGGCGUGUAGGCGGUCUUGCAAGUCAGAAGUGAAAUUCCUGAGCUCAACUCGGGCGCUGCUUCUGAAACUGCAGGACUUGAGUGCUGGAGGGGAUAGCGGAAUUCCUAGUGGAGCGGUAAAAUGCGCAGAUAUUAGGAAGAACACCGGUGGCGAAGGCGGAUAGCUGGAAAGCAACUGGCGCUGAGGCGCGAAAGCCGGGGGAGCAAACAGGAUUAGAUACCGGGGUAGCCCACGCCGUAAACGAUGAAUACUAGGUGGAGGGGGUAUCGACUCCCUCUGUGCCGCAGUUAACACAAUAAGUAUUCCGCCUGGGGAGUACGGCCGCAAGGUUGAAACUCAAAUGAAUUGACGGGG
rnacentral:rRNA from 1 species